GGCCUAGUAGCUCAAUUGGCUAGAACCUUGACUGUACUAAAGCCUUCCAUUGCUGUCGUGGGUUCGAAUCCCACUGAGGCCG
rnacentral:tRNA from 1 species